CGUGUAUGAUCUGGGAGGCAAUUCUAAGAGAAAAGUGGAAAAAUGUCUUGUUCCAUCCUCCUGCUCUCUGGCCAAUUACUGGGAAGAUUGUGUUCCUUUAGGGGACCAGACACAACCUGCUUGGUCUUCUAGCCGCUGUGGGGCACCAGCGAGGGCCUUUGAACACCCCCUGUUGGAACUGGACCCCAUUUCCACAUAAUUGGCUCGAGCCAACUCCUUUGUGUAUCAGGAGAGCUGCUUGGGCAGGGAUGGUCUCUGCAGAGCUGUUUAGAUUAGAAUAGUUAGGUCUAGACUUAUCCAGAAGCCAGGUCUUCUCACUGCAGCCUCCCCUACUGUCUUUUCAGAAAUAAAGCGAACCGCACAGUGAUGGAUCAGAUAGUCAUUAAAGCACGGACUCUCGAGUUGGGGUGGCCGGGUGACUCUUACUACCUGGGGUGUCUCUUACUACCUGUAUGAACUGGGAAAGCCUCAUAACCACCCUUUGUCUCAGUUUCCUUAUUUGUAGAGUGGGAAUAUCAGUGGUGCUCACCAUAGAGGAUUCUCCUGAGGGACAAGUGAGUUAAGACACAAAAGCACUGAGAAGAGUUCCUGGUGCCUGGGAGGGCCCCGCAGUUGUCUCCCACCACCGCCAUCAUCACUCUGCGACUGCAUGGAACAGAUGGAGAGUCGGAGGCUAUCGAAGAUGCAGCUACAAGAUGGCGGGGACUCCGGUUAGCCUGGGCCCUGCAGCGACUGCGUGGAGCAUGACCACACUGACUCUUUCUCCAUACGUGGCAUGAACAAGAAAUGAACUUUUGUGGUGUGAAGCCCCUGAAAUCCAGGAGUUGUCACCACAGCACAGCUGAGUCCAGUCGUUCUCGGUCUGGUCCCCUUGCUCGGGGACUGUUAGAAAUGCAGAUUCUCAGGCUCCGCACCACACACAGCGAGUCAGAGACUGAGGGUGGGGCUAGCAAUCUGGGUUUUAACAGCUCCCCAGGAGAUUCUGACACAGGUCAAGUUUGAGAGCCAUGCUCUAACCUAUCCCGAAUGCUUUCUCCCCCCAGGCACACGGGGACUUUGCCCCCAUGGGCGGCCACUGCUUGGGAUGAUCCGUUCUGCUUUACACCUUUCCAUUGGUCGAGAUACUUAAGCCCCAGCUACCUCAGAAUGGUGAGCAUCGAACAUGUCAAGGCCUCGGGUAUCUGCCUGAUGUCAACAAAUCACCUGGAAAUGGGUUCCCUGUUGCUUUAAGAAGACCCUGUCAGAAGCAAUGAAUUCUUUGACAGGACUUGAGGAAUGCAGACAUGACAUCCUUACCAGAAAAUUACCACCAGGCCCACUGCCCGUACUCUGAGACGAGGGGUGAACUGAUUUCUUGUGGAG